rnacentral:lncRNA from 1 species
GGCGGGUGUUGUUUGUCUGAAGGAUCGCUCGGCUGCCCAAUCAGAGCGCAGGGUGAGCGCCGGAAGAUCGCUGCAGCAGCAGCAGCAGCACACGGGACCGAAAUGGCGUAGCGCGCAGUCCACUGCUGCAGCAGCGCAGCGGGGCCAGGCUCACCGAACAUCCCAGAGCCUGGCCCGCCGUACUCCAACCGACGAGUAUGAUGGAGGUGGCUUUUAGUUUCAGUUCAUCCGCUUCGAAACCAGCACGAGAUCACCGGAGACGUGCCCUUCACAUGUCAAAUCAAGAAGAGAAAGGAACAGUCCAGAAAGGAACUCAUGACCAGAUAAGAUCGUCAUGUCUUUGUUCUUCAAACUGCUCUCCAUCCCGAUAAGUUGACUUUCCUCCAGCGUUAUUUCAGGGAAGUGUUUGUUCAACAUGCCAACUGUCACUGGUCUAUGAAAAUAUAAUCUCUGCACUUUGGAGACGACAACUGAAGUUGUUUUUAUCCAUGAAAGAACCAUAAACUCAUCAUGUGUCCAAAAAAGUUAAGUAACACAAUUGUGCCACAGUAAAGAGCCAUCAUCUGGUCAUAUUUGUUAUAAAUAAAUCAAGUGGAGUACUUAUGUUGCAGGUUGUGUUAAAAUGAAGUGAAAAAGGAAAUGGCGAAAGUGCACUUGCUUUGCAGGUAAAACAAAUGCACAUUUAAAAACGAAAUCAUGCAAGCAAGAUAAAGUAGCUUCAUCCAACAAUUUUAUUAUCUGCAGACUAAGUGCCUAGAUGCAUCUCUUUGGAAAAGCUUCUGUCUCUUGCUUGUCUAUUUCCAUGGCUUAGCUUUAAACCUACAAGUAAAGCACUACUUGGUCAUUUAUUUAGUCUUAAAAUGGCUGAAAAUUUAAUUUCUGAGACAACAAACUGUAGACAGAUAGCUGUUCUCUUAAUUCAGAACUCAUAUUGGUGCUUUUGCAAAACCAUGAAUCAUGCUUUCAUGUUUUCUGUGUACUUGAGAAACCAAGACAGACAGUGUGGCACACUGACCCGAGCAUAAGCUUUAUAAAUUCCACAGUUAAACCUUUCUAGUGAGAGUGGGGUGCUAAUGAGAUGCAGGACAUAAUGAAUUAUAAUUAUUUUACUACCUCAGAAGUUACCACAGCUCAGACCCACACUCCGAUCAACCGAUAUGCACAUGCUUUUCUCACAGUGAUGUAAAUAGAGUCAUUGUCUGUCAAAUGGUUUGGGAAUCAGUUGGAAGAGGAGUGAGCAUGUUUCUUUUCACUUUUUGUACAUUAUUUUAUUAAUAUGUUUUGGGAAUAUCACACAAAUCAUAUAGAUACCUUGAAGUUCACUGGUUUGACACUGGUGGCCAAAAGUUUGGAAUAAUCAAGUUUUGAAAGAAGUCUCUUCUGCUCACGAAGGCUGCAUUGAUUUGAUCAAAAAUACAGUAAAAACAGUAAUAUUGGGAAAUUAUUAUUACAAUUUAAAAUAACUGGUUUCUAUUUGAAUAUGUAAAGAAAAAACUGAAAUUUAUUCCUGUGAUGGCAAAGCUGAAUUUUCAGCAGGCAUUACUUGGUGUCACAUUAUCCUUCAUUAUUGUUAUCAGUGUAAAAAUGUUUUUGCUGCUUAAGAUUUUUGUGGAGAC